GAUGAACGCUGACAGAAUGCUUAACACAUGCAAGUCUACUUGAACUUCGGUUUGGGUGGCGGACGGGUGAGUAACGCGUAAAGAACUUGCCUCACAGUUAGGGACAACAUUUGGAAACGAAUGCUAAUACCUGAUAUUAUGAUUUUAGGGCAUCCUAGGAUUAUGAAAGCUAUAUGUGCUGUGAGAGAGCUUUGCGUCCCAUUAGCUAGUUGGAGAGGUAACGGCUCACCAAGGCGAUGAUGGGUAGCCGGCCUGAGAGGGUGAACGGCCACAAGGGGACUGAGACACGGCCCUGACUCCUACGGGAGGCAGCAGUGGGGAAUAUUGGACAAUGGACCAAAAGUCUGAUCCAGCAAUUCUGUGUGCACGAUGACGUUUUUCGGAAUGUAAAGUGCUUUCAGUUGGGAAGAAAAAAAUGACGGUACCAACAGAAGAAGUGACGGCUAAAUACGUG
rnacentral:rRNA from 1 species